ensembl:lncRNA
CCCAAUUCAGCCGGCUUUGCUGUCACUGUCAGGUGUUUCCGGAUUCUCCAUCUCUGACGUAUGGGUGUGUAGCCUUUUCUCUCAUUCCUGCCUCCUUGUCUCCUUUGACCUUUGUGUUGGUGCCUGUGACCUGGGAGUUGAUCUCCGUGUUAAUGCAUCUGGAGGCCAUGAGAGGAGCGAGAGGCGGAUUGCUGGAGAGGCUCUAAUCGAGGAUGCUCAGGUGCUGCCUGCAGUGAAGCCAAAGAGAUGUACAUGAGAUUGGAGGGACAGCCGGAGACAAGUAAUGAACAUUCCUCCCUCGCUGCAUUGCUCUGUUAACAUGAGGCCUGGUCAGAGGAACCACCUGCAGGCCGGAUUAGAAAGUCCUCUCGCUACCUGCUGGACGUGGCGCUGUGUGUUUUGAUUUACUGCUUUACUCAUCUAUCGUGUGUGUGUGUGUGUGUGUGUCCGUCUGUGUGUGUGUGUGUGUGUCUGUGUCCGUCUGUGUGUGUGUGUGUGUCCGUC